UACGGAGGAUUCGAGCGUUAUCCGGAUUUAUUGGGUUUAAAGGGUGCGUAGGCGGACUGGUAAGUCAGCUGUGAAAGUUUACGGCUCAACCGUGGAAUUGCAGUUGAUACUGUUGGUCUUGAGUAUACAUGAGGUGGGCGGAAUUUGUGGUGUAGCGGUGAAAUGCUUAGAUAUCUCAAAGAACUCCAAUUGCGAAGGCAGCCCACUGGUGUAUGACUGACGCUGAGGCACGGAGGUGUGGGUAUCAAACAGG
rnacentral:rRNA from 1 species